GUCACACCAUGGGAGCUAGGAAUGCCCGAAGCCAGUGGCCUAACCGAAAGGAAGGAGCUGUCGAAGGCAGGCCCAGUAACUGGGGUGAAGUCGUAACAAGGUACC
rnacentral:rRNA from 1 species